AAUUCCCAGUAAGCGCGAGUCAUCAGCUCGCGUUGAUUACGUCCCUGCCCUUUGUACACACCGCCCGUCGCUACUACCGAUUGAACGGUCGCAUUGAGGUCUUCGGAGUGGACGCGCGUUAUUCGGCCCCCCUCGGGCUGGGUCGUCGCGCGAUCGCAAGAUGACCGAAAUCGGCCGUUUAGAGGAAGUAAAAGUCGUAACAAGGUUUCGUAGUGAACCUGCGGAAGGAUCAUUA
rnacentral:rRNA from 1 species